rnacentral:rRNA from 1 species
UUGACAGGGGGCCGCACAAGCGGUGGAGCAUGUGGUUAAUUCGAUGCAACGCGACGAACCUUACUUACUCUUGACAUCCAGAGAACUUAGCAGAGAAGCUUUGGUGUCUUCGGGAACUUUGAGACAAGUGCUGCAUGGCUGUCGUCAGCUCGUGUUGUGAAAUGUUGGGUUAAGUCCCGCAACGAGCGCAACCCUUUUCCUUUGUUGCCAGCGGUUCGGCCGGGAACUCAAAGGAGACUGCCAGGGAUAAACUGGAGGAAGGUGGGGAGGACGUCAAGUCAUCAUGGCCCUUACGAGUAGGGCUACACACGUGCUACAAUGGCAUAUACAAAGAGAAGCGACCUCGCGAGAGCAAGCGGACCUCAUAAAGUAUGUCGUAGUCCGGAUUGGAGUCUGCAACUCGUCUCCAUGAAGUUGGAAUCGCUAGUAAUCGUAGAUCAGAAAAAUACGAAGAAUACGUUCCCGGGCCUUGUCCACUCCU